CACACUUUGACAGAAGUAUGAAUGGAAACAAAGAACGUGGCGGGAGUGAAAGUGAAAUCCUUUGUUCCCACGUGCAUUUGGGGAUGUCAGUAUAUGUGUCAUGCAAGAACCGAAUUCUUUGACGGGUAUUGCCGUUAUGCAAUGUUUCAAAUCUCCAGUGACCGCAAUUGUAUUAACAAGAUGGAGUCAGAUUUCCAUGGUCAAAGUCAUUAGACCUAAAAUUAAAGAAUAUAAGACAUGCUAGACCAAAUGGAUAUUCAAUAAAAUGGUCAUUAAAGUAUAGACAAGUUGAUCUGAUAUAAGCAUGUACCAAAGAGAAGAAACAGAUAUUAGAGACAUCAGAUUUAUCAAAUCACUAAAAGCAACAAAAGCUGCAAAGAGGUUACCUCUUGUCAUGGAGCAUAGAGAAAACAACAGUAUGAUGUAAAAUAAGUAUCGGAGAACAAACAAGAGGGCAGGUGUUACCAGCAACUGUAGCGUUGCCGAACCAAUGUAAAUUGUGUAUUCAUGUUCUAAGAAGACUGAUUUUCCUUUGUUUGAAAAAUGGUUGAUUUAAUUGUGUAUCCAAAUAUAGAGGAAUCGUGGAAUGUAAAAAAGAAGAAGAAACUGUUCAAAUACAGCAGGCUUGCAACUGAAUGGAGGUAUUUAGGGGAUAUGAGAACUGCCAGAUUACAGUCUUUCAGAGGUUACAGUAUUACUUACCAGGGAGCCACACUAGCCCAGAGGUCUAAUUAGUUCACCUACAGUGAUCCUUAGCCAGUCAUCUCUGAGGUUGUGAGUUCCAACCUUGCUUGUGGCAAGUUUACUUACUAUCAAAGGAUGUUAUCCAGUAUUCUGUAAGGGAUUCCAAAGGAGGAACAGACAUAUCAUUUAAUACAUUCUAAGGAGAGUUCACCUAACACUUUCCAUAGACAAAGGUGAUUCCGAGAAAAUCCAGUUCAGAGGUGUGAUGCCUCUACUAUAAAAAGACCUAUGUUGAUUGUCUAAAGGAGGGUCAAGCUGUUAAGUUGAUAAUGGAACUUUCAGAUGCAGAUAUCUGGUAUAAGCUGUUAAAAACAGCUUCUCACUGGUCAUCAGGAGUCGAAACGCAUAUAUUUGUAUGGAACAAAGUUUGGGAUCACAGGAAAAUUUCUACUCAUCUGAAAUUUCAAGACAAAGAGAGUUAACUUUACAAUGGUGUAUUACAGCCUAUUUACAGAUAGCAGUUUGUUAGAAAUUGAGAGCACCUUAGUUCACCAACACAGACAAACAGUUAAGGUCAUGAUUUUCAGGAACCCAGAUUUACAUCAAGCAUGCAGUGAAAAUCUAUUAUUAGUGGUUUAUUGAGAUAAUAGAAAUCUGCAAGACUAAGGGUGAAGAUUUUUAGUGUCUUGUCAUUGACCUAAUCAAAUAAUCAUUACUUCUGAUAAGUGGCUGUGUUGCAGUAGCAGAAGAGAAUAAAAUGCCAGCAGACGUCAUACGGAAGCCUGAUCAAUCCUUGACAUUCAAAACUUUGAUGUCAUCAUUUGGUGAUCGACAAAACACGAUAUGAUCAACAAAGUAUAUUUGCAUCAAUGUUGUGGAGAAAUGGGGCAAUGAUUGCAAAGCUACUGCACUCAUCAUUAUAUAAUGAAAUACUUUUUUGUAAUAAAUGUAUGUAACAGUU